CUGUGGUAGGGAGGAUGGUGUUGCAGUGAAGGCACUGCGUUUAGGACUUGGGUGACCGGGGUCCAGCUCCUGCCUCUGCCCAAGGCUCCUUGUGUGACUGGGGUUGAAUCACAGAGUUGGAUACUUGAGUGCUUUGUGUGCUGAUUAGAUCACUCACCUGUCUUCCCUUCACCUUGUUCUUGCAGAGAGCAGCCUACUCUGUCUGUGCUUUCCUUCUGAGAUGCUUAGGCCUGUCGUGGUGCCAACCAGGUAUAUCUCCUUAGUUCUGCCCCAUACACUGGCAGCAGCCCGCCAAGGGAAUGAUGAAGGGUUGCCAAUGGAUGGAGGGGGAGAGGAGACAAGUAGCAGGGGAGGCAAGAAUUAAACCUAGGAAGUGGGUUGGACAAGGCAGAUAAGGCUGGGGUGGUGGGGAGGAGAUGGUGGCAGCUGGGCCCUGGCCUGUCAUUGAGAUGUUGAGACUGGGAGGCCCAGCUGCCAGCCAAUGGCAGGCUGGGGAGAGCUGCUGUGAGGGCCCUUUCUGGAGACCCAUCCAUGGGUCCAGCAGCCCAGUACUGCCUGUAAUUCGACAGUAGGUGGCACUGUGCUUCCAAGCUUCAGCUCCCAUCCUGAAGUUAAAAUUGAAACCCUGAGUCUAUGACUUUUCCCGUGCUUUGGAUGGGCUGGCCAGGGAGGGGUGGUUUCUUGGGGAAAGCCACCAGGGCUGGCUUGUUCAGCAAACAAAGAAUCCCCCAGUCCCAGGUUUUUGGCUUUUUGAUUCCCGUGGCUAGAGCAUGGCCCUUGAUGCAUGUGCUUCAUCACUUUCUGGGCAGAGGGAAUCCUGCAUCAGAAAUCACCUGCUAAAGCCUGUUCUCUCUGGUCUCCCAUGUGGCUUCAGCUCUCGGCUGGUAGCAGAAAGCCCAGCAGAAGUUUGCCUUGAGUUCCAACAUGGCAGAGCCCUGGCUUUAAUCCUCUGCCCUAGCAAACACAUUCAUCUUUCUUGCUACAAAUAAGGCAAACUGCAUGUGCUUUUCCAGGGCUGGUGAACAAUUGCUUUCUUCUCGCCUGGUGGCAGCCUUUUUUGCACUGUUGCAGGGUGCUUGGUCCUCAGAUUUCCAGGUGUUUUACCGGCUGGUGGUGUAGAUGGGUGAACUGAGACAUGAGGAGAUGCUGCCAUUGGUCAGUGACAGGAGGGAGUAGGGGAAGCCUGGUGUCCUGAGUUUGUUGUCUGCAUUGACCACAGACAGCAGCAGUGUCUGCCUUCUGGCAUGCUACCUGGGUACUGAUGUGUAACUUGCUGCACCUGCCUUUUGGUUGAGCAUGGUGAAACCUCUGUCUGUGGAGGUUGCCGGGAAUGGAUAGCAGGUACUGAGGGUUCCUGGCAUUGCAACUUGGACUUGGAACCAACUUGACUCGGUCCUUGCCAUGAAGAUCUCUGCAAGCCGCUGUCCUCAGGAAGGCCUUGUGCUCUGAAAUGUCUUGCUUAUGCCUCUCCUAAGAGCUCAGCGUGGCCCUGUUCACUAUCAUUUCCCGUUGCCCUGAGGUUUGUGCAGCAGGCCGAGUGCACCAGCUAAUGCCUCCUGCCCCAGAGCUCGCUGCAACCUUUUAUAACCUUUCAUGACCUUUUAUGGUGGUAGAACAUUGGCUGCAGCAGUCUCCCAGCUUUACCUUUGGCAGGUUCGAAUGUGACAUCUGGUGUUGCGUCAAGGCUCAUUUCACCAAGAGGUUGGACAAUGGUUUAGUCUGGGGUGGUUUGGACAGGGCUGAUCCUGCAUGAGACAAGAUGUGACUUCUGGAGGUCCCUUUCAGCCCUGCUUGUCUAUGAGUCUGAUUCCAGCUUCACAGAGCUUUGGGGUGGGUGGACGCAGCUCAGCCAGCUUGUGCUGCCAUCGUGGCAUCGUAUCUGUACGUUGCUACACUGGAUCAGACCUAAUACAGCAUCCUGUGGCUAGUGCCAGAGGUAGCCCACCGGUCUGGUGCUGCGACUGGCUCUUCGUAAUGCCAUGUGCAUGACACAGAUCCAUCAGAAGCAGGCAGCAAAGUACUUGCUGGGCUCAGCUUGGUUGUCCUUGGCAGAGCCUCCUGCCUGGAGAAGAUGCAGCCACUUUACUAUAGUGAUGGGCUCUUCCUCUGGACUGCUGCCUGCUUAAGCAUCUCCUUAAUGACCACUAGCAAAUGUCUGUAGCCUCUGGCUUGCUUCUCCCUAGCUGUGGGACUUGCAGUGACAAUAUAGAGUCCUCUGGGGCACAGAUAGAGCUGCAUCAGCUUGUGACCAUGGAUCAGAGCAGUGGGCUCAACCUCUGGUCAGACAGGACUUGGAACUGGCCAUGCUGAGAAUACAGAUCCUCUAUGCCCAUCAGUGGGCUUUGUAUCUCUGUGACUUCAGAGUCACCCAAAGGUACCAGCUGAGCUGGGCGGCUGCUGGCUGCUCUCUGAACCUGAUCCGUUGCUCUGGUACGUUCCACUCGCUUGACUGCCAGCGGUGGGUUUGCAACUGAUGUAAACCAGUGUAACAGAGAGGAUCUGCAGGCAGGAGUCUGCUACAUGAGUGCUUUGCAGCUGCCCUUCUCCAGGGGCUGUGUGGGAUUUGGGAGCCUGCUGACAGCCAGGCUCUGCCAGGCUGGAAAUCCCAGCUCAGCUAACGAGUUGCAUUGCCCCAGCCUGGGCCUCUGUACAAACAGGCGGUCUCCUACCAUCGGGUGUUUGUGCUGGAUUGUUGCUUUCAAGUGGUUCAGAGCAGUGGGAUAUGGGGUGUUUCAGCUGGGCUGGCGUGGGCUCGAAGCCAAAGCGGGGGUCGGUGGUGAUUAUGGCCGAAUGAGGGCCGUUCAGUGCCUAAUGAUGCCAUGUCAGCUGUUAUUUAUGCUCUGAUUGGGUGCUGGGGGGGGGACAAGGGAAGCUGGCAAGUGUGAGAUGGAGGAAUGAUGGUAAUUUGAUUUUCUGCCUCAUAAAUCUCCACGAGCUGGGUAAACUUCAGCCUAAUUCUCAUCUCCUUUCCACCAAUGGUAACGCUCGCAAAUCCAGUCUAAUGCUUCGAUACUGCUGAUGCCUGGUAUUUCUUGCUUCAGAGCCACUUCUUUCCUAAUGCUAGUUCCUGCCCCAGUGGCUCUGCUUAGGAUUGCUUGGGUUUACACUGGGAAGCAGGAGUGUUUUGCUGCUUCAGUUCUCAAAGCAGAGGAUCUCCUUUGCAGCCACAAGUUAACACUCAGCUCCAAAUACUUCCCUCCUCAUUCCACAGCAGACAGUUUGGUCCGUAACAAGAAGCUGUCUCCUUUCCUCUGCUCUGCUGUGUACAGUAGUGGUAUCGGUGCCAUCGGGAGUUCCUGUGCAUUUGCAUAACUCUUACCUAAUUUAAGCAACAUGGAGAGAUGUGUGAAUGAAACAUGGGUCUCUGUGUUAGAUGGCUGGGAUUUGUGAUAGGACCAGACUGGUGAGCAGUGGGACUCCACCUCUUACCACUGACCUAAUGCUGUGGAUAGAUGGAGGAGAAACCCCCUGAAUGACCUUUUCUCAAUCAACUUGUGGUGUUGUGAGACAGAACCUUGGAAAAGCAGUUGGCUAGUACGAGGUGUUGACAGUUGGGCAGGAGAGGGCAGUGUUUUUCAUAGGGAAGGAAGACCUGUGGGUGUCCUGUCCUUCUGCGCUCGUGUUCGAGUGUUCUUCCUGACUCCACACUCAGAUCAGACUUGAGCCCCUGGGCCCUAUGCCAAACCGCCUGCCAUCAAAAUUGAUCCUGAUGGGGGAUGAAGUGGGAGAGGGUUGUAACAGACCCAUGAGCUGAGAGGGGAAAGGAGUGCCCAGAAGGCAGGUGAGGGGUUAAUUCUUUGAUGCUCAGAAGCUCAUCCUCUGCCCAGCUUUACCUGUCCUCCCCUACAGGUCCGUGGAGGCAAGCAUCCAGUUUCCCGGCCAUGUGAGCCAGACAGAAAUGCGUCUAGUAGAGAAGUAUUCAGAACGCGGAGACUGUGGAAAUCACAGGCUGGGUUCUGCUCUUUAUCACUGCCUCAAUGACCUGUUACGGAUGGAUUGGAGAGAGAAAGGGGUUGUGUGGAGCCAGCUGUGAUCUGGCAAGUCCUCGGAGGGAGAGAGGCAGCCAGCAGGGGAUACCAUAAAACAGCACUUCUGAUGUGCCAGCCUCCAGAUGUCUCCUCGAACAGCACAUGUGGAUCCAACCUGGUGGAAGGCUGAUUGAUCUCCAUCCCAGCUGCAGUGAUAUAGAUUGUUCAAGCAGAUGCUUGGGCAAAUGUGGAUGCGAGGUAUGGUGACUAGGUCAGAAAGGUGCUUCUCUCAACCUGUUUACUGAUCCGUCAUGAGAGGCAAAGCAGUGGGAGAGGACCACGUAGAGAUGGACUUGGUAAGAUGAGAGGACAAAUGAUUGUUUCCUGCAUCUCUUAUCUGAACUCACAGCUGUGCCUUGUCUUAGACUUUAUAUAUCACUUCUUGCUACUGUUCCACCCUGUAGAGGCAAAAUAAAAGUUAGUGG